AUGGGGCUGCGCGGUGCGUUAGGCGCAUGAAACCCCGGGGCCGAUAUCGACACCUCGGGGACUGUCCCUACCGGAGCUGUGGCUUCGGCACAUGGUUCCCACCUGCGUUAGCGGGCCACGAGGGUUCGUCAAGGCCGACGGCCAACGCGGCUCCAUC
rnacentral:other from 1 species